rnacentral:rRNA from 1 species
UGGGGAAUUUUGCACAAUGGGGGCAACCCUGAUGCAGCGACGCCGCGUGAUUUAGAAGGCCUUCGGGUUGUAAAAAUCUUUUGUAUAGGAAGAAAAUGACAGUACUAUACGAAUAAGGUCCGGCUAAUUACGUGCCAGCAGCCGCGGUAAUACGUAAGGACCGAGCGUUGUCCGGAAUCAUUGGGCGUAAAGGGUACGUAGGCGGUUAAAAAAGUUAGAAGUGAAAGGCUAUAGCUCAACUAUAGUAAGCUUUUAAAACUGUUUAACUUGAGUGAUGGAAGGGAAAGUGGAAUUCCUAGUGUGGCGGUGAAAUGCGCAGAUAUUAGGAGGAAUACCGGUGGCGAAGGCGACUUUCUGGCCAUUAUCUGACGCUGAGGUACGAAAGCGUGGGUAGCAAACAGG